GGGCUUGACAUCCCACGAACCUGCCUGAAAGGGCGGGGUGCCCGCAAGGGAGCGUGGAGACAGGUGGUGCAUGGCUGUCGUCAGCUCGUGUCGUGAGAUGUUGGGUUAAGUCCCGCAACGAGCGCAACCCUCACCCCUGGUUGCCACCGGAUAAAGCCGAGCACUCGAGGGGAACUGCCAGCGUCAAGCUGGAGGAAGGCG
rnacentral:rRNA from 1 species